rnacentral:rRNA from 1 species
UACGAAGGGGGCUAGCGUUGCUCGGAAUCACUGGGCGUAAAGGGCGCGUAGGCGGCGUUUUAAGUCGGGGGUGAAAGCCUGUGGCUCAACCACAGAAUUGCCUUCGAUACUGGGACGCUUGAGUGUGGUAGAGGUUGGUGGAACUGCGAGUGUAGAGGUGAAAUUCGUAGAUAUUGGGAAGAACACCGGUGGCGAAGGCGGCUCACUGGCUCGUAACUGACGCUCAUGCACGACAGCGUGGGGAUCAAACAGG